UGAGGAAAGUCCGGGCUCCACAGGGCAGGGAUGCCGGAUAACGUCCGGCGUAGGCAACUAUAGGGAAAGUGCAACAGAAACAUUCCGCCGAAACAGUUUGGCUGUGGUAAGGUUGAAAUGGUGAGGUAAGAGCUCACCGGCGUCAUGGAGACAUGGCGGCCGUGUAAACCCCAUCCGGAGCAAGGUCGAAAUCGGGCAUAUGUGGUGGCGGCCCGUCACCGCCCGCAAGGUGGACCGCUAGAGCGCCCAGCAAUGAAGCGCCACAGAUAGAUGAUCGUCCAAGACAGAACCCGGCUUACAGAUCCGCCCU
rnacentral:RNase_P_RNA from 1 species